rnacentral:rRNA from 1 species
CCUACGGGCGGCAGCAGUGAGGAAUAUUGGUCAAUGGGCGUAAGCCUGAACCAGCCAAGUCGCGUGAGGGAUGAAGGUUCUAUGGAUCGUAAACCUCUUUUAUAAGGGAAUAAAGUGUGGGACGUGUCCUAUAUUGUACGUACCUUAUGAAUAAGGAUCGGCUAACUCCGUGCCAGCAGCCGCGGUAAUACGGAGGGUCCGAGCGUUAUCCGGAUUUAUUGGGUUUAAGGGGUGCGUAGGCGGCCUUUUAAGUCAGCGGUGAAAGUCUGUGGCUAAACCAUAGAAUUGCCGUUGAAACUGGGGGGCUUGAGUAUGUUUGAGGCAGGCGGAAUGCGUGGUGUAGCGGUGAAAUGCUUAGAUAUCACGCAGAACCCCGAUGGCGAAGGCAGCCUGCCAGGCCAUGACUGACGCUGAUGCACGAAAGCGUGGGGAUCAAACAGGAUUAGAUACCCCAGUAGUC